rnacentral:tRNA from 1 species
GCAGUCGUGGCCUACUGGUUAGGGCUUCAGGCUUGUAACCGGAGGGUUGGCGGUUCGAUCCCCAACCAGUAGGA